UACAGAGGGUGCAAGCGUUGUUCGGAAUUAUUGGGCGUAAAGCGCGUGUAGGCGGCUUUGCAAGUCGGGUGUGAAAGCCCUCAGCUCAACUGAGGAAGUGCGCCCGAAACUGCAGAGCUUGAGUGCCGGAGAGGGUGGCGGAAUUCCCCAAGUAGAGGUGAAAUUCGUAGAUAUCGGGAGGAACACCGGUGGCGAAGGCGGUCUUCUGGACGGUGACUGACGCUGAGGCGCGAAAGCGUGGGGAGCAAACGGG
rnacentral:rRNA from 1 species